UUCUCUUCUCAUCUCCCCUCCAUUCACCAAAACAGAGUUGGGUCUAUAUUUUACCCGGCUGGCUCUUGGAACUGCAUAAAUCCUGGCUGUUUUCAUUUUUAAAAAAUUAUGAGAUUAACUACCAAACUUGAGAUGUAAGUUGUGGGUUAGCUCUCGAUUCUGCUAGAUAACCUGGAACAAAGCAUUAACUUCUUUGAGAGCUUCCUUUUUUUUCCUUCAUUGCUGUUGUGUGUUUCUACCAGAAAAUGUGGGAAUGUGCGUGAAGACGACCUAGCAGAGUGCCUGGCACACAGGAAGGAGCUUGUUGAAUGUAUAGUUCCGGGCUCCAAAACAAAGGCAGCCCAUCUUAGCCUGAGCCACUCUGACUUCACUCUAGGAAAUACUGCCUAGAUAUCUAAAGGAAAGUGAUAGCAACUGCAACCAACUGUUUCUGAGGUCUGCCUGCCCACCAAUGGCCCCCUCAGCACAUGGGAACACGUGUGGAGGUGCCUGGAACAGACACUGACUCAGCGGGGUUCUGUACAGAGGCAGUGCGGGUGAAGAAAUGAAUGCAGAUUCCCCAACAAUCCAGAGGUAUAUGCAAGAGGAGGGGCAGGGGUUCUUUCAAGUCACCUUCCAGGUGACCAGGUGCCUUUACAACUCUAAGGCUCUGUGAGUAUGUUUUUUUCUUACCUUAUGGAAUAAAGGGAAAAAGAAGACAGCUGCCCUGGGUAUGGCUUUGGGUCGGAAUAAACAUUUCUCAAAUUGAA
rnacentral:lncRNA from 10 species